CUGGACGAGCGGCGAGACGGGUGAGAUAAUGUCUGGGAAACUGCCUGAUGGAGGGGGAUAACUACUGGAAACGGUAGCUAAUACCGCAUAACGUCGCAAGACCAAAGAGGGGGACCUUCGGGCCUCUUGCCAUCAGAUGUGCCCAGAUGGGAUUAGCUAGUAGGUGGGGUAACGGCUCACCUAGGCGACGAUCCCUAGCUGGUCUGAGAGGAUGACCAGCCACACUGGAACUGAGACACGGUCCAGACUCCUACGGGAGGCAGCAGUGGGGAAUAUUGCACAAUGGGCGCAAGCCUGAUGCAGCCAUGCCGCGUGUAUGAAGAAGGCCUUCGGGUUGUAAAGCACUUUCAGCGGGGAGGAAGGUGGUGAGSUUAAUAACCUCAUCAAUUGACGUUACCCGCAGAAGAAGCACCGGCUAACUCCGUGCCAGCAGCCGCGGUAAUACGGAGGGUGCAAGCGUUAAUCGGAAUUACUGGGCGUAAAGCGCACGCAGGCGGUCUGUCAAGUCAGAUGUGAAAUCCCCGGGCUCAACCUGGGAACUGCAUUUGAAACUGGCAGGCUAGAGUCUUGUAGAGGGGGGUAGAAUUCCAGGUGUAGCGGUGAAAUGCGUAGAGAUCUGGAGGAAUACCGGUGGCG
rnacentral:rRNA from 1 species